rnacentral:pre_miRNA from 1 species
GGAUGAUAAUGAUGAUGAUGAUGAUGAUGAUGUUGAUGGUUAUGUUAUGAUGAUUGUAAUGAAGGUCAUCAUCAUCAUCAUCAUCAUCAUCAAGAUCA